AUGAUAACUUAAGUAGCACAAAUGCUAAAAUUGAAACAAUACACAGAAGAUUAGCAUGGGCCUUGAGCAAGGAUGGCAUGCAAAUUUGUGAAGUAUUCCAUAUUUUU
rnacentral:snRNA from 1 species